rnacentral:piRNA from 1 species
UGAGCUUGCUAGAAGGGAAGCAGCA